GCAUAUUCUUGGCAUACCUCUCUACCAAUACACAUGAUAAAAAAAAAUCACUUUCAGGAUAAUAAAAUGAAAUUCUAAUAAGGCCCAAUGGGCCUAAACUCUCGAUCUCGUGAUUGAACGCACCAAUCAAUAAUUCAGUGAGUGAGAGAGAAUCAAGAAAAUGGUCACCUGAAAUGAGAAGGGUUUUGAGGCCACUGGUUCGUGAGCUUUCGGAGCUCAGUAUCUUCCGGCUCCGGUGACGCCGGAACGAUCGUGGAAUCUUAUUGAAAAACUCAGCAGCUGUCUUCUCUACACGAUGCCUUAAAGCUGAAGGCAAGCCAUGGUUGAUCACUUGAAAAAAUCCCCAUCUCUUGCAUGCCUCUGCAAUCUCCUUGGCGAUCGCAGUCUUGUCAUGAUGAGUAUCUUCGAGAGAAGAGAGGUCGAUGGUCGGGAUCUCGUCGGAGAAAAUGAAAUCACCGGAGUUUGUGAGGUGAGUGUUGGGUCUGUGUUCUGGAGCUUGGAUAAAAGCUUCGUCGAGUUCUCCCAUGGCAGUUUUGGCAGUGAUUCUUGUGGUUAUUUUUUAGAGUAGGCUUUGGAGAUAUCGAUGAUUAGUGGUGCGGUUGGUGUUGCUUUAUAGGAUAAUGCCACGUAAGUAGAGUAGAAUUUAAUUUCUCCCUGAAAUAAAAUGAAUCUAUACUAAUUUAUGCAAACCACUAUAGGUUAUUUUUUCCUUUGGUCUUUAUCGUAGUUCAGCUAAAUGUCAUUUAGGGUCUUCCUAUUGUUAGACGUAAACAUCACAAUUUGUUUCGAGUCAAAUCAAAUAAGUUCCUUCUAAUAGCUCGAAGGGCUGCUCUCUUGCAUAUUCUUGGCAUACCAACCUAUCUAUAAACUUGAGGUUAACAAUCAAAUAAACUUGAGGUUAACAAGAUUCUUAUCAAACUCAAUGGGCCUUUGUUAAGGCCUUUUUAGAUGUUCUUGAGAAAUUCUUAUCUGAACAAUAAUUUUUGAUUGUUUUUUUCAAGUUUGAUGGAAGAAUCAAAUUUGCACAAAGAAAAAGGAAGAAUCAAAUGAAGAACACCUGAAAUAAUCACAAUCGUCGGAUCUCCAAAUUUACAUGUAGGGUGAAGAAUAUAGACCUAGUAACUAGGUAAAAUACUUAUUACUUGUGAAUUCUAUACAUGAUUAAUAAAAAUUUGAACUCUAAAUCCAACUUCCCACACGUGAACACUGAACAGAGGGUCCACACUUACAUUGUUACAUUUAAUUUAAGUGGCUCAUUAAGUCUACUCACUACACAUCACAUAUGCUAUAACGAAUACUCAAAACCAAUUAAUUUUCAAAGGAAAUCGAAUUUUGAUGCAAAUGAUUUGUUCAGGGUUUUGCAG